GAUGAAGAACGUAGCGAAAUGCGAUAAGUAAUGUGAAUUGCAGAAUUCAGUGAAUCAUCGAAUCUUUGAACGCACAUUGCGCCCCUUGGUAUUCCGAGGGGCAUGCCUGUUCGAGCUUCAUUAUAACCCCUCAAGCUCAGCUUGGUGUUGGGGCCUGCUGCACUGGCAGCCCUUAAAAUCAGUGGCGGCGCCAUCUGGCUCUAAGCGUAGUAAUUCUUCUCGCUAUGGAGUCCUGGUGGAUGCUUGCCAUCAACCCCCAAUUUUUCUAUGGUUGACCUCGGAUCAGGUAGGGAUACCCGCUGAACUUAAGCAUAUCAAUAAGCGGAGGA
rnacentral:misc_RNA from 1 species